rnacentral:lncRNA from 1 species
CAGGAAAGGAUGGAUGUGAGAAACAAAUCAUUCCUCACUUCCUUCACAUCACCAUCAGCGUCAGUUAUGUGGGGAGUCGUGGUACCUCCAACAUGGCCAUCAUCAAAGUGAAGAUGCUGUCUGGAUUCUGUCCAAGACAAGGCACUGAGUACUCUUCCAACUGAACAGGUCCACCAUCAGGCUAGACUCUAACUCCUAUUCCCCUUCUCCAGCUCAAGCAGCAGCUUUUUAUGAAGAAAGUGGAGGUUGGGGAUGAAGAUCUCAC